rnacentral:rRNA from 1 species
GACGAACGCUGGCGGCGUGCUUAACACAUGCAAGUCGAACGGAAAGGCCCUGCUUUUGUGGGGUGCUCGAGUGGCGAACGGGUGAGUAACACGUGAGUAACCUGCCCUUGACUUUGGGAUAACUUCAGGAAACUGGGGCUAAUACCGGAUAGGAGCUCCUGCGGCAUGGUGGGGGUUGGAAAGUUUCGGCGGUUGGGGAUGGACUCGCGGCUUAUCAGCUUGUUGGUGGGGUAGUGGCUUACCAAGGCUUUGACGGGUAGCCGGCCUGAGAGGGUGACCGGCGACAUUGGGACUGAGAGACGGCCCAGACUCCUACGGGAGGCAGCAGUGGGGAAUAUUGCACAAUGGGCGGAAGCCUGAUGCAGCAACGCCGCGUGCGGGAUGACGGCCUUCGGGUUGUAAACCGCUUUCGCCUGUGACGAAGCGUGAGUGACGGUAAUGGGUAAAGAAGCACCGGCUAACUACGUG